rnacentral:lncRNA from 1 species
CUGAACCCCUGAUUGGGACCCUUGUAGUCACAGCAGGAGAAUCCCUGAGCAGAUUGGGGGCUCAGGUCACCAGGGUCUGAGUGCUCUGGGAUUCCUCGUGCUCCCCUUCCCUGCCUCCCUGUCCAUCCGCCCCCAGGCCUGUGGUUGGGGCGGCUUGAUAUACCUCUUCCUCAGAUGCAAGUUUUAGUGGUGGGGUUAAGGCCCGUCACAAGGGACCUUAAACCUUGCAGUGUACGCAAAGUUGUAUUCCACAGAUAUAAAUAUUUUCUUUUCCUUUUACCGUGACACUAUGUGUGAUGGUAAUAUUUCUGAAAGUUUCAGAUUUUUGCACAUAAUGAUUUUAUGCAUUAUCAAAAGUUACUGCUGCCUUGAAUGAAAAUGUUCUGUGAAAUUUUUUGCAAAAGCUUUACUAGGUUUUUUUUUAAUUGUGACAUUUUGUAAAGGCAGGAAAUGGAUUAAAAUAAGCAUGCUAAAUAUAUUUUUCAAAAAAGCAAUAAUUUUACAUGUAUAGAAAUUAUCCUAACCUUUAAUACUGGUGAGAGCGACAGUUUACUUAAUACAGUAAUGGAUUAGUGCAGUUUUUGUAGAAAAUGGGCUUCUGAUACAAAGACUUGUUUAAACACACACACACACACACACACACACCCACCCACCCCUGAAGUGUGGUUUUCCUGUUCUAAUGAUUUGUUGAGUUUUAUUAUUAUUAUUAUUAUUGUUGUUGUUGUUGUUGUUCUUAGUUACUGUUUGGUUUCUGGAUUCUACUUGUUACUGAAUUUAAAUUACUUGACGGUUCAGGUUACCUUGCAACAUUUGCAAACAAUGCAAUGUAACUGGCUAGCUUCUAUAUAUAUAUAUUAUAUACAUGUAUACACACACACAUGUAGACACAGAGAUAUGUGCGUGUGUGUGUAUAUAUAUAAUUUUUUUACUUAUUUUUUCCUGCUUCUCUUUUGCCGGAUAUGUUCCAGAACGAUCUGUCCUGUUGGUGUGUUCCGAGGGUCUGUGCAGAUGCUCCUCAGCCACUGUCCUUGACUGUUCUGUAAAGUUACUUUGAGCAAAGUUGCAGACACAUUCCCCUGCUCACCUUCGAAAUCAAAAUGCCACUCUGUUGACUUCCGUUUGAUCCUGUCUCUGGCCUCCCCACAGUGGUCAUUUCUGCAUUUUCUUGGCUGAAAGUGAAGGGUGACAGUUCAGGAGCGCACAGGGGCUAGAGCUGCGGGCUGUCUGUUUCUCUGCAUUUUAGUUAUUAAAAGGAACUCUGGACCCACAGUGACACAGAUGAGUCAUGUACCUUCUUGCUGUUUCAGAAGCAGCCUGUGGAGUCACAGUGUCACCCCGGGGGCUCCUUUGCAGGGGCCUGGGGGAGAGAGGGGGCACAUCCCCAGGGAAAACCGUGUGCUGCCAGGAGCACAGAUGGAAGGUUUUCACUUAAUUCAGCAGGCGGGGAAGGGACCCCAGAGAAUGCCACCCUCUGAGAGAAGCCCUUUGCGGGAGACUGUGGCCCCUCCCUCUUUCACUGCCCAUCAGUAUUUUAUUGGUUUGUUAAUGCAUUUAUGUCAGUUCAACCAUAGUAUUUAAUAUGAUUUGUGUUUUCUUAUUUAUUUAGCUGAUAUGUCUUGAUUCGCUUUUUUUUCGAAUGAUAAUUUCCGCAUGGUCUCUCCUGUAAGUCACCUUCUGACUGUUACAGACUUUCUACCUCUACCAAUCUGCUGUUUCCUUGUUUCUUAACAGGAUUUCACAGUGUUGGCGUCCAGUGUAACUUAGACAAUAAAGGGUUUGGUUGUCU